GUUUAAAACCCCUUUUAAUCUUUGUUUUUCUUCUCCUCAUUGAGCUGCUCAUGCUCAGCCCCCUCAGGUGUGAGGUAUUAUAAAUAAGAUAGGGUGAAGGUGGGCUGGGAGACCUGAGCUGCAGAGCCAGCUGGGAUGGGCUGGGGAAAGUCUCCACUGCCCUAGAACAUACUGGGCAUCUGCAGUGCUUGGGCUGUAGGAAAUCUCCAUUUUUAUCUGGAUGGAGAAAAGUUACAGGAGACACAAUUGGGCAAGGUGUGGAGGAAGGGACCACUUUGUCCUCCAUGGCCACAGUGACCAAUGGCAGAAAUCCUGGGCUGGACUAUCAGUGGCAGACAAGUGGAGCAGAGGUGGGGAGCAGAAGGCCACGCCAAUCCCAGAGCUCCUGUGAGCGAGCCAAUUCCCCCAAGGAUGGUUGCAUUAAUGAGAUGUCACAGCUAAUGAGUCUGCUGGCAGAGUGCUCAUGGAGAAACAUGCUGGGAAAUGGUAA
rnacentral:lncRNA from 12 species